rnacentral:rRNA from 1 species
UACGUAGGGUGCAAGCGUUGUCCGGAAUUAUUGGGCGUAAAGAGCUCGUAGGCGGCUUGUCGCGUCUGCCGUGAAAAUUCGAGGCUCAACCUCGAACUUGCGGUGGGUACGGGCAGACUAGAGUGUGGUAGGGGAGACUGGAAUUCCUGGUGUAGCGGUGAAAUGCGCAGAUAUCAGGAGGAACACCGAUGGCGAAGGCAGGUCUCUGGGCCACUACUGACGCUGAGAAGCGAAAGCAUGGGGAGCGAACAGG